CCAAAGAGCGGCAGAGGAGGUGAGCAGAGUGCUGUAAGGAGGUGGAGCAUAUUGGUGCUGGAGCUGACUUGGGCCAGAUGAGCAGUGACUAGUGGGCUGAAGUAGCAGUUAUUUUUCAGGUGUUGCAUUGCUGGCUAAGUUAAAGGUAUCCUUUGUGUUUUCCAGGUAGGGCACAAGCUUUAGUGUGGCAAUAUGUAAAUGGCAGAGGGGGCGAGGACGAGUGGCUGAGGUGCCGCAGGGAGCCUCGGAGGGGCAAAGCCACAUGCUGAUGAGCGGUCCGAGAAGGAGUCACGUGGCCACUGUUGGAACUGGAUGCCCAUUGGAGUAUUACCACAAGAAUCACCCAAAUGAAUGAAGGAUGAACUUUGAUGAAACUGAGCAAAGCAUAGCAAUGAUGGAACUAGAACUGACUUCAGGGACUGGUGCCCAGCAAGUUCCUUGAAAUCAACAACUUUGAGGUCCGACCCUGAGCAUGGACCACACCAGCUAUGCCAGAUGUGAGCUUCAGAAGCAGCCACAACAAUCCAACAGUGUACAGCAUUGCUCCUGACCCGAGAGACUGUUAGAAGAGAUGGAGCCCCAAGUCAUGGACUAAAUGAACUCAAUGGACAUUUUAGAGGCAUGGCCCAUAGCCUAAGGGAAUGAUAUCUGUGUGUCUAAUUUUUUUAUAUAUAUGUAAAAGAGAGGGAAAGUGGUGGUGAUUAAUUGGAAGUGUUGGAUGAGGGCAGGAUGUAGAUGGUUUAGAAUAAA